CCCCCGGAAAGGCCGGGAAGAAAAGACCCACAGCUUUUCCACGCGGUGCUUCAGGAACGGCCGCGCCCCCACGUGCUCUCGGGUGCAAUCCGUAACAGAAGGAAGGAAGGACAGCCUCGCUCUGACUGCACCCUAAACUAUAAAGGGACCUGCGCGGAAAGCUGAGGGUUCUCUUUGCGCUGUAGGUUACUCUUUUAGGCGACCUGGUGACCAAGCAAAAUGUGGGGUUACAGAGUAAAUUUAGAUGCUCCGGUUCUGCGGAGCAGCCCUCCGCACUUGAGCUUAGGGUACCGGUGUAAACUACCUGGGAGAAGUGCGCAGCAGCAAAAGAGAUUUCAGGAUUGGAGCCUAGGCCCUGGGGAGAUUGGGACUGGGCAGCUUGGCUGAAGGCUGCGUGCGUUCUGGUUCCUCAGUCCCAGUUUGGGUGGGUUCUUACACAGCGGGGUUUGCAGAAAAAUAUGCAAGGCCUUUUGUGCUGUUUGGAAGGUACUGGUGACACCUAAGUGACAUCGGAUUAUAUGCACAUGAACCCUUUCACAGGGACCAUGGCGUCAUCAUUCUUAACAUCAUCAAAGCAGUUGCAAAAAGAUACCAAGGUGAAGGGGUGCCCAAAGCAUCCGAGAGAACUCGUCACAGAAAAUAACUUGAUUAAAACCUGACUCUUUUAAAAGGUAUGUAUGAAAUCUAGAUUGACAUUUUUGCCAGCAUACAUUUUUACUGUUGUGAGAUGAGAAUCAGCUUCCCGGAAAUGUGUUCUGAAAUAGUCCUGGCCAAACACUGCAGCUUCUCCUACUCUGGCCUUUUUAAUUUGGAGUAGCUGUAGUGAAUGCAUGGUGUAUAAGUUGAUUGUACAAACAGUUGUGAGACAUACCGGGUCUGAACAGUGAUGAACUAUAUCCCGAAGAUGAUGACCUGAAGACAGAUACAGCUUCUGAGAGAAGACCAUCGUGUUUAAGUGAAGUAGUAGUCUUGUUUGUCAUGUUUCCCAAGGGCUUUUGUUUGUUUGGGGGAUAAUCUCUCCUGCUGCGCAAACUGGCCUCGAACUCAUUAGGCAGCUGAGGAAGUCCUUGAACUGCAGACACCCCAGCCUGCCCCUCUCACGUUCCGGGGUUCCACCAUGUCUGGCUCUCUCUAGCCUUUCUUUUUAAUUCCUCUGGUCUGAUCAGCCAUAGCCACAAGACACUCCCUCUGUAGGGCACUGAGUGAAUAGCUGUUACCAAGCAAAUAUCUGUUCCAGGCCAUCUCUGUACUGACCAUAUUUGUUCAGAGGUUCAUUGAGCCACUGGUUAUUUCUGGCAUGUCUGCAUGUCUUUUUUUUUUUAAUGACUAUUUUUAAAGGCUGUGUAAGGAGGGCAAAGAGAACCUAGGCAUAGGUUUUCCAAAAACGUGACAAGGAUGGAGGGUGGUGGCGGCAGGAGAACCCUGGAGCGCUGGGUGCUUCUGGACAUCAGCUCCUGACCACCUCUCCAGCAGCACUGCAGAAGUGUACACAAGGUGGCUCCUGAAGCUGAGGGUGGGGUUCUGGGGGGGGGGGAGAGAAGGAGGGUCAGAGAUGCCAGCAGCAUAUCCUCCAGGCUAAGUAAGCCAGGGUGUUAGUUACCUGGUCUUCUGUGCUUCUCUGUGUAUGCAUGUAUAUUUGUUCGUGGAUGGAGACCUGUGUGCAUGGGGACCAGAGGACAAGUUAGGGCGACAUUCCUCAUGUGCUACCUACCGUUUGAAAAAAAAAUUGUGUAUGAGUGUCUUAGUUAGGGUUUUACUGCUGUGAACAGACACCGUGACCAAGGCAACUCUUGUAAGAACAACAUUUAAUUGGGCCUGGCUUACAGGCUCGGAGGUUCAGUCCACUAUCACCAAGGUGGGAACAUGGUAGCAUCCAGGCAGGCAUGGUGCAGGAGGAGCCGAGAGUUCUCCAUCUUCAUCUGAAGGCUGCUAGCAGAAGACUGGCUUCCAGGCAGCUAGAAUGAGGACCAGUGUCUCCUACUCUGGAUAGUGUCAGUUCAAUCAUGGUUAAUCUCCUGUCCCUCAUGACGAUGCGACUUCACUUUACGACAUACUUAAGAAUAUAGGAUAAGGGCUGGAGAGAUGGCUCAGCGGUUAAGAGCACUGACUUCUCUUCCAGAGGUCAUGAGUUCAAUUCCCAGCAACCACAUGGUGGCUCACAACCAUCUGUAAUAGGAUCCAGUGCCCUCUUCUGGUGUGUCUGAAAACAGUGAUGGUGUACUCAAAUACAUAAAAUGAAUAAAUAAAUCAUAAGAUAUAUUUAUAGGAUAAGCCAGAUAUAGUGGUACACACCUUUAAUCCCAGCAUUGGGGAGGCAGAGACAGGCAGAUACAUGAAUUCGAGGCCAGCCUUCUACAGGGUGAGUUCCAGAAAAGCCAGGGCUACAUAGUAAAAUCCUGCCUCAAAACACAAAAUCAAAAUAAAAACCCUCGGGGCCAUGAGAGUGAACUUUUAUUGUUUAAUUAAAUUACUCUGGUGCUGAGAUGCCUUCUCAAUAUUUACAUUUAUAUUCAUCCUGACUGAUGCUGCUCACAGCCUUUAGAGACACCUUCUUUGUACCUGUGUGUGUACCACGUGUGUAUGUACACCACAGCAUAUGGGUGGAAGUCAGGGGACCACCUGUGGCAGCCACUUCCUUCUUUCCACCAUGUGGACCCAAGGGGUAGAACUCAAGACAUCAGGUUUAACAGCAAGAAUCUGACUUGCUGAGCCAUCUCCUCACCUUAUUAUUAUUAUUAUUUAAUUAAUUAAAAGCAAAUUGGACACUAAAUGAUUUCAGGACAACUGGUUGACCUCAGUGAAGUUUACUGAGUGAAGGAGUUGGAACACAGCAGGACCCAGAAUGACAUGAGCACUGGAACAUCACAGGCUUAUGAUACCCACCUGGGUUUUAUGUAGGCUCGGGGGAUUUGAACUCAUAUCCUCAUGGCUUGAAGGUAGAUGCUCCAGCAGCCAUGACCUCCCUCCAUCAUGAACUUAAGCUGCUGUGACUCCUGCCACCAUGACGUCCCCUCCCAAACCCACCCUGCACCACUUCUCACCAACCUCCCAUCUCCGUGACCUCCCACCCCCACUGUGACAUCCCACCAGUGUGAACUCCCACCACCCACCACCACCGUGAUCUCCUGCCCCCACCGUGACCUCCCUCCCCAACUGUGACCUCCUGACCCCACUGUGACCCCCCACCUCCAUGAUCUCAUGUCUCCACUGUGACUUCCCGCUGACAUCAUUUCAUGAUGGAGUCCGCCCUCUUACUGAGAGUCAGACAAACCCUUCCGAAGUCGCUUGUGUCAAGUAUUCUGUUGCAGCUCCCAGACCAGGAACUAACAGAAGCAGCUUUUCCUUUGGUGACUCCACAUGGGACCACUGCUGUCAGUCAAAUGCCUAAGGUGGAACGGCCAUGCGGACCAGGACGGUGAACACUUCCCUGACCAUGUCUUACUCAGAGCCUUAAGAAGAGUUGGAGGUGGAGCGGAGCUGUGGGGAGGGGCCCAGUGUCUCUCAGAACUUCUCAUCCUCCGGGCUUCCCUAGGAUGCAAUGGGUCAGAGCUCCCAGAUCUCUUAUGCCUCCAAACACAUUGAUUCCCCCCAACUUUUUUACAACGGAUUUCCCAGUUCCUACCAAUCUCAUCUCUCUAAGUAAAUAAGAAGGGGUUUCUACUGAUGGCUUUCCCAUGGCCCGGCUUCAUGCUGCUCCUGUCAGGAUGGAUCAGGAAAGGAGCUGGACCUGAAGAUGAAUCUACCAUACAGUAGGUAGAGGCACGUGACAAGCACGCGCCAAGUCCUAAGCUGAUGCCCGCUAUCAGAAUUAACUGGGUGUGGUGGUGCGUGUUUGUAAUGCCACACUUGAGAGGUCCCAGCAGGAUGGCCAGAACUUCAGCUCAGCUACAGUGCAAGCUGGAGGCCAACCUGUGCUACAUGAGACGCUGUCUAAAUGACAAAACACAUCAAACAGACAAACAAAAGGGCUAAGGUUGGCUAAGGGAGAUCGAGUCAGAAAACCAGCUUGCAUGGAGAAUGCGCUCCUGGAAGCAAGGAUAUCGUUUACAGCCAUAAAAUGAUAAUAACCUGGUAGGAAAACGGGGUGGGAUUUAUAAGUGUCUUCAACAUGCAGAACGAGUAAAACUCACUACACUUCUCAAAAAUGGCAGUGUGGGGACCUUUGAGAGGGGCUCAGUGGGUGAAGGAGUUUGCUAUGGAGCCAAAUGACCUGAGUUCAAGCCCCACCACCCACAAGGUAGAAGGAAAGGAACAACUCCCGCAAGCUGUCUUCUGACCUCCGUGGUGGUACUAUAGCACGCCUUUGCCCCUACCCCACACAAAUAAGAAAACAACAAACAAAUAAACAAAUAAAUAUAAAUAAAACCAUGUUCCUGAGCGAAGUCGUACAGUUCCUUCUGGAGCGUCGUCACAUUAAAGAACUGAACUGCUUCCUGUCCAGACACAGAGAGAACUGUCGGGUGACCAGACUUCUCAUGUGAGUGCCAACAGCAAGCAG
rnacentral:lncRNA from 1 species